rnacentral:rRNA from 1 species
UUAAUGGGUGAUGGCGUGCCUUUUGUAGAAUGAACCGGCGAGUUACGAUUUGAUGCAAGGUUAAGCAGUAAAUGUGGAGCCGUAGCGAAAGCGAGUCUGAAUAGGGCGUUUAGUAUUUGGUCGUAGACCCGAAACCAGGUGAUCUACCCUUGGUCAGGUUGAAGUUCAGGUAACACUGAAUGGAGGACCGAACCGACUUACGUUGAAAAGUGAGCGGAUGAACUGAGGGUAGCGGAGAAAUUCCAAUCGAACCUGGAGAUAGCUGGUUCUCUCCGAAAUAGCUUUAGGGCUAGCCUCAAGUGAUGAUUAUUG